GAUGAACGCUGGCGGCGUGCCUAAUACAUGCAAGUCGAGCGAACAGACGAGGAGCUUGCUCCUUCGACGUUAGCGGCGGACGGGUGAGUAACACGUAGGUAACCUACCUAUAAGACUGGGAUAACUUCGGGAAACCGGAGCUAAUACCGGAUAAUAUUUCGAACCGCAUGGUUCGAUAGUGAAUGAUGGCUUUGCUAUCACUUAUAGAUGGGCCUGCGCCGUAUUAGCUAGUUGGUAAGGUAACGGCUUACCAAGGCAACGAUACGUAGCCGACCUGAGAGGGUGAUCGGCCACACUGGAACUGAGACACGGUCCAGACUCCUACGGGAGGCAGCAGUAGGGAAUCUUCCGCAAUGGGCGAAAGCCUGACGGAGCAACGCCGCGUGAGUGAUGAAGGUCUUCGGAUCGUAAAACUCUGUUAUUAGGGAAGAACAAACGUGUAAGUAACUGUGCACGUCUUGACGGUACCUAAUCAGGAAGCCACGGCUAACUACGUG
rnacentral:rRNA from 1 species